AACGAACGCUGGCGGCAGGCCUAACACAUGCAAGUCGAGCGCCCAGCAAUGGGAGCGGCGGACGGGUGAGUAACGCGUGGGAAUUUUCCUCAAGGUACGGAACAACUCAGGGAAACUUGGGCUAAUACCGUAUGAUGUCUAGCGACCAAAGAUUUAUCGCCUUGGGAUGAGCCCGCGUCAGAUUAGGUAGUUGGUGGGGUAACGGCCUACCAAGCCUGCGAUCUGUAGCUGGUCUGAGAGGACGAUCAGCCACAUUGGGACUGAGACACGGCCCAAACUCCUACGGGAGGCAGCAGUGGGGAAUCUUGCGCAAUGGGCGAAAGCCUGACGCAGCCAUGCCGCGUGAAUGAUGAAGGUCUUAGGAUUGUAAAGUUCUUUCGCCCGUGACGAUGAUGACGGUAACGAGAGAAGAAGCCCCGGCUAACUUCGUGCCAGCAGCCGCAGUAA
rnacentral:rRNA from 1 species